rfam:Chelonia mydas contig206062, whole genome shotgun sequence.
AUCUCCAUUUGGAGGGGGGAGGACCCUGCAGCUAAGAUCUGUAGUAUCUGUUCUUAUCUGUUUAAUAUCUGAUACGUCUUCUAUCUGAGGACUAUAUAUUAAAUGGAUUUUUAGAACAGGGAGAUGGAAUAGGAGCUUGCUCCAUCCAUUCCACACAUCGACUUGGUAUUGUGGUACCUCCAGGAAAGGUGCACCAAAA